UACGUAGGGGGCUAGCGUUGUCCGGAAUCAUUGGGCGUAAAGCGCGUGUAGGCGGCUAGGUAAGUCUGCUCUGAAAGCCCGGGGCUCAACCCCGGGAGGCGGGUGGAUACUGUCAAGCUCGAGUCCGGAAGAGGCGAGUGGAAUUCCUGGUGUAGCGGUGAAAUGCGCAGAUAUCAGGAGGAACACCAAUGGCGAAGGCAGCUCGCUGGGACGUGACUGACGCUGAGACGCGAAAGCGUGGGGAGCAAACAGG
rnacentral:rRNA from 1 species